AGCGUAGGCGGACUUUUAAGUGAGAUGUGAAAUACCCGGGCUCAACUUGGGUGCUGCAUUUCAAACUGGAAGUCUAGAGUGCAGGAGAGGAAAGCGGAAUUCCUAGUGUAGCGGUGAAAUGCGUAGAGAUUAGGAAGAACACCAGUGGCGAAGGCGGCUUUCUGGACUGUAACUGACGCUCAUGUACGAAAGCGUGGGGAGCAAACAGGAUUAGAUACCCUGUA
rnacentral:rRNA from 1 species